AUUGAACGCUGGCGGCAGGCCUAACACAUGCAAGUCGAAAGAGUGGCGGACGGGUGAGAAAUGUCUGGGAAACUGCCCGAUGGAGGGGGAUAACUACGGGAAACGGUAGCUAAAACCGCAUCCCAUCGGAUGUGCCCAGAUGGGACUAGCUAGGAGGUGGGGGAACGUCUCCCCUAGGGGACGCACCCUAGCUGGUCGUAGAGGAUGACCAGUCACACUGAAACUGAGACACGGUCCAGACUCCUACGUGAGGCAGCAGUGAGAAUCAUUGGACAAUGGGCGGAAGCCUGGUGCAGCCAAGCCGGGUGUAUGAAGAAGGCCUUCGGGUUGUAAAGUACUUUCAGCGAGGAGGUGGUACUCGCAGAAGAAGCACCGGCUAACUCCGUGCCAGCAGCCGCGGUAAUAC
rnacentral:rRNA from 1 species